CCAAGUUAACCCUUACCGGAAGCCAGCGCCUAAAGCGAGGUCUUUGAUUGGGGCUAAGUCGUAACAAGGUAGCCGUAUCGGAAGGUGCGGCUGGACCACCUCCUUUCU
rnacentral:rRNA from 1 species